CUGGAGGUAUCAGAAGUGCGAAUGCUGACAUAAGUAACGAUAAAGCGGGUGAAAAGCCCGCUCGCCGGAAGACCAAGGGUUCCUGUCCAACGUUAAUCGGGGCAGGGUGAGUCGACCCCUAAGGCGAGGCCGAAAGGCGUAGUCGAUGGGAAACAGGUUAAUAUUCCUGUACUUGGUGUUACUGCGAAGGGGGGACGGAGAAGGCUAUGUUGGCCGGGCGACGGUUGUCCCGGUUUAAGCGUGUAGGCUGGUUUUCCAGGCAAAUCCGGAAAAUCAAGGCUGAGGCGUGAUGACGAGGCACUACGGUGCUGAAGCAACAAAUGCCCUGCUUCCAGGAAAAGCCUCUAAGCAUCAGGUAACAUCAAAUCGUACCCCAAACCGACACAGGUGGUCAGGUAGAGAAUACCAAGGCGCUUGAGAGAACUCGGGUGAAGGAACUAGGCAAAAUGGUGCCGUAACUUCGGGAGAAGGCACGCUGAUAUGUAGGUGAAGUCCCUCGCGGAUGGAGCUGAAAUCAGUCGAAGAUACCAGCUGGCUGCAACUGUUUAUUAAAAACACAGCACUGUGCAAACACGAAAGUGGAC
rnacentral:rRNA from 1 species